rnacentral:rRNA from 1 species
CCGGUUACACCCGGACGAAGGACCGCUAAACGGCGGGGGUAACUAUGACCCUCUUAAGGUAGCGUAAUACCUUGUCGCUUAAUUGGCGACUUGCACGAAUGGCCUAACGAGAGCUCUACUGUCCCUGCCUUGAGCCCGAUGAAAUUGACGUACUGGCGCACAGUCCAGUACGUCCCAGCCGCAAGCGAAGACCCCGUGGAGCUUUACUGCAGCCUGUCGUUGUGGUACGAGUUGUAAUGUGCAGGGUAGACGGGAGCCAUCGAAACCUGGGCGCCAGCCCGGGUGGAGGCAACGAUGAAACACCGUCCUUUACGAUUCGUCCCGCUAAACCCCUUCGGGGGGACACCGAUAGGUGGGCAGUUUGGGUGGGGCGCCACUCCCUCGAAAAAAUAACAAGGGAGCUCAAAGGUCAGCUUAGGUAGGUCAGAAAUCUACCGUAAAGUGCAAGGGCAAAAGCUGGCUUGACGUGGUUUGGCACCACAACAAACCACGAUGCGAAAGCAGGACCUAGCGAACCAACCAGCCCCGUUAGUAGGGGCGGUUGAUAACAGAAAAGUUACCCCGGGGAUAACUGAGUUGUCUGGAGCAAGAGCCCAUAUCGACCUCCAGGCUUG